rnacentral:tRNA from 1 species
UAGUAAGAAGUAAAAAUAAUUACAUUUAGUUUCGACCUAAAAUAAAGGGACUAAUAACCCCUUACUUU